GCCACUGCAAGGGUGUUCAGUGGGAGAAGGGGAAGACCUUAGAUCCCUGUGGAGGAUGAUCAAUGAGACAUGAAUACUGAUGCUGAAUAAUUCCCUAUGGUCUUCCCUGAGGACUUAUAUGUGCUGUGCACAGUGUCUGGUAAAGAGAAAUAAAUAAGAUAUACGAAGUUCCUGGCCUCUUCCCCAUCAUGUUUCCAUCUAAAGAAGAGUCUGGAAGUGAGAAAAUAUGGAAAAGCAAAAAUACAGUUGAAAUAUACUGAACUAUACUUUGUUCACUCUUCAUACGCCUCAGUUAAACCUCACUCACUUUUAUGUCUCAGCAGCAUGCCCUGAUGACGUCCAGACAGAUGAAUUACCUCACAGGAUUACUAGUCAAAGACACGCGGAGGGACUCCAGGCACGUGACAAG